UAGGGAAUCUUCGGCAAUGGACGAAAGUCUGACCGAGCAACGCCGCGUGAGUGAAGAAGGUUUUCGGAUCGUAAAACUCUGUUGGUAGAAAAGAACGUUGGUGAGAGUGGAAAGCUCAUCAAGUGACGGUAACUACCCAGAAAGGGACGGCUAACUACGUGCCAC
rnacentral:rRNA from 1 species